AGUGAACGCUGGCGGUAGGCCUAACACAUGCAAGUCGAACGGCAGCACAGUAAGAUCUUGCUCUUACGGGUUGCGAGUGGCGGACGGGUGAGGAAUACAUCGGAAUCUACUUUUUCGUGGGGGAUAACGUAGGGAAACUUACGCUAAUACCGCAUACGACCUACGGGUGAAAGCAGGGGAUCUUCGGACCUUGCGCGAUUGAAUGAGCCGAUGUCGGAUUAGCUAGUUGGCGGGGUAAAGGCCCACCAAGGCGACGAUCCGUAGCUGGUCUGAGAGUAUGAUCAGCCACACUGGAACUGAGACACGGUCCAGACUCCUACGGGAGGCAGCAGUGGGGAAUAUUGGACAAUGGGCGCAAGCCUGAUCCAGCCAUACCGCGUGGGUGAAGAAGGCCUUCGGGUUGUAAAGCCCUUUUGUUGGGAAAGAAAAGCAGCAGGUUAAUACCCCGCUGUUCUGACGGUACCCAAAGAAUAAGCACCGGCUAACUUCGUG
rnacentral:rRNA from 1 species